GAGAGAUCAUAGCUGGGGGCCAGGCAGGAUGACUGAACUGAACUGCAAAGAGUGCGUCAGCCUGUCCAUCAGGAGUGCAUCAGGAAACUCAGGACAUCCACUUCCUGACACCUAGCCUGUCUCCCUUACAGACUUGGGAAGACUACUGAUGCUUGGGAAGACUACUGAUGCUUGGGAAGACUACUGACUACUGUGGCUGGGAUGGACCAGGACAAGGCUGCUGUAGGCCUGUUCCUACAAGACCUUUGUAGUUAUAGCUUUAAAUUCCACUGCUACAAAUGAAGGACACAAAAAAAAUGAUGUUGCUGAUUUCCACAUGACAGCUGGACAAGAGCAAAUCUCUCGGAACUCUAGUGGGAACUGAAAAAGAUUCAGAUGGGAUUAAGUUGAAAGAAAGCAAAGAACAAAGCAAAUAUUUAACAAGUGAAUAAAUGAGUGAAUAUAAGUUGUGUUCAUAGCUACGAUCUCCUGGCACUUCUUGAAUCAUUU
rnacentral:lncRNA from 1 species